rnacentral:rRNA from 1 species
UACGUAGGGUGCGAGCGUUAAUCGGAAUACUGGGCGUAAAGCGUGCGCAGGCGGUUUUGUAAGCCAGAUGUGAAAUCCCCGGGCUUAACCUGGGAAUGGCAUUUGGGACUGCAAGGCUGGAGUGCGGGCAGAGGAGACUGGGAAUUCCUGUGGUAGCAGGUGAAAUGCGUAGAUAUCAGGAGGAAUACCGAUGGCGAAGGGCAGGUCUCUGGGCUGACACUGACGCUCAUGCACGA